UACGUACGAGGCGAGCGUUAUCCGGAAUUAUUGGGCGUAAAGCGCGCGCAGGUGGCUUGUUAAGUAGGGCGUGAAAUCGCCCGGCUCAACUGGGCGGGGUCAGCGGAUACGGUGUGGCUCGAGCAAGCUAGGGGGCAAUGGAAUUCCCGGUGUAGUGGUGGAAUGCGUAGAUAUCGGGAGGAACACCAGUGGCGAAGGCGGUUGCCUGGAGCUUUGCUGACGCUGAGGCGCGAAAGCGUGGGGAGCGAUCCGG
rnacentral:rRNA from 1 species